rnacentral:rRNA from 1 species
UUUCGUCAAUGGGGGGAACCCUGAACGAGCAAUGCCGCGUGAGUGAGGAAGGUCUUCGGAUCGUAAAGCUCUGUUGUAAGAGAAAAACGGCACUCAUAGGGAAUGAUGAGUGAGUGAUGGUAUCUUACCAGAAAGUCACGGCUAACUACGUGCCAGCAGCCGCGGUAAUACGUAGGUGGCGAGCGUUAUCCGGAAUGAUUGGGCGUAAAGGGUGCGUAGGUGGCAGAUCAAGUCUGGAGUAAAAGGUAUGGGCUCAACCCGUACUUGCUCUGGAAACUGAUCAGCUAGAGAACAGAAGAGGACGGCGGAACUCCAUGUGUAGCGGUAAAAUGCGUAGAUAUAUGGAAGAACACCGGUGGCGAAGGCGGCCGUCUGGUCUGGAUUCUGACACUGAAGCACGAAAGCGUGGGGAGCAAAUAGGAUUAGAUACCCUAGUAGUCCACGCCGUAAACGAUGAGAACUAGGUGUUGGGGGAAUAACUCAGUGCCGCAGUUAACGCAAUAAGUUCUCCGCCUGGGGAGUAUGCACGCAAGUGUGAAACUCAAAGGAAUUGACGGGGGCCCGCACAAGCGGUGGAGUAUGUGGUUUAAUUCGAAGCAACGCGAAGAACCUUACCAGGCCUUGACAUCCCUUGCAGAGGUAUAGAGAUAUAUCCGAGGUUAUCAAGGAGACAGGUGGUGCAUGGUUGUCGUCAGCUCGUGUCGUGAGAUGUUGGGUUAAGUCCCGCAACGAGCGCAACCCUUGUGAUAUGUUACUAACAUUGAGUUGAGGACUCAUAUCAGACUGCCGGUGAUAAACCGGAGGAAGGUGGGGAUGACGUCAAAUCAUCAUGCCCCUUAUGGCCUGGGCUACACACGUACUACAAUGGCGUCUACAAAGAGCGGCAAGCCUGUGAAGGCAAGCGAAUCUCAUAAAGGACGUCUCAGUUCGGAUUGAAGUCUGCAACCCGACUUCAUGAAGCUGGAAUCGCUAGUAAUCGCGAAUCAGCAUGUCGCGGUGAAUACGUUCUCGGGCCUUGUACACACCGCCCGUCAAACCAUGGGAGUUGGUAAUGCCCGAAGCCGGUGGCAUAACCCUUCGGGGAGUGAGCCGUCGAAGGCAGGACCGAUGACUGGGGUUAAGUCGUAACAAGGUAUCCCUACGGGAACGUGGGGAUG